rnacentral:misc_RNA from 1 species
AGAAAACCAAUAGGAAAUGUGAAUUAUUGAUUUAUCACUCCCCAUUUGUUAACAAUGAAGCAAUAUAACCACCUUGUCAUGAUGUCAGUUGUCAUGAUUGUUCCCUGAUAACAAUAACAUGAUAAGGAAUACAAGUGUUUUCAAUUGAAAACAUAACUGAAAGUUUCAAGUAUCUUUCCUUUAUUCCUAUAGUUCUUUAUUUUUAGAAUGUGCAAGUUGCUUGCGCCUUCACAAAUGAUCUUCAU